rnacentral:rRNA from 1 species
AGAUCAGGAAAGACUACCCGCCGAGUUUAAGCAUAUCACUAAGCGGA